rnacentral:rRNA from 1 species
GGAAAAGGGCGGCAGGCUAACACAUGCAAGUCGAGCGGAAACGAGUUAACUGAACCUUCGGGGAACGUUAACGGCGUCGAGCGGCGGACGGGUGAGUAAUGCCUGGGAAAUUGCCCUGAUGUGGGGGAUAACCAUUGGAAACGAUGGCUAAUACCGCAUAAUAGCCCGGUUCUUCGGAAUGGGUCUCAAAGAGGGGGACCUUUUAGGCCUCUCGCGUCAGGAUAUGCCCAGGUGGGAUUAGCUAGUUGGUGAGGUAAUGGCUCACCAAGGCGACGAUCCCUAGCUGGUCUGAGAGGAUGAUCAGCCACACUGGAACUGAGACACGGUCCAGACUCCUACGGGAGGCAGCAGUGGGGAAUAUUGCACAAUGGGCGCAAGCCUGAUGCAGCCAUGCCGCGUGUAUGAAGAAGGCCUUCGGGUUGUAAAGUACUUUCAGCAGUGAGGAAGGUGGGUAUGUUAAUAGCAUACACAUUUGACGUUAGCUGCAGAAGAAGCACCGGCUAACUCCGUGCCAGCAGCCGCGGUAAUACGGAGGGUGCGAGCGUUAAUCGGAAUUACUGGGCGUAAAGCGCAUGCAGGUGGUUUGUUAAGUCAGAUGUGAAAGCCCGGGGCUCAACCUCGGAAUUGCAUUUGAAACUGGCAAACUAGAGUACUGUAGAGGGGGGUAGAAUUUCAGGUGUAGCGGUGAAAUGCGUAGAGAUCUGAAGGAAUACCGGUGGCGAAGGCGGCCCCCUGGACAGAUACUGACACUCAGAUGCGAAAGCGUGGGGAGCAAACAGGAUUAGAUACCCUGGUAGUCCACGCCGUAAACGAUGUCUACUUGGAGGUUGUGGCCUUGAGCCGUGGCUUUCGGAGCUAACGCGUUAAGUAGACCGCCUGGGGAGUACGGUCGCAGGAUUAAAACUCAAAUGAAUUGACGGGGGGCCCGCACAAGCCGGUGGAGCAUGUGGUUUAAUUCGAUGCAACGCCGAAGAACCUUACCCUACUCUUGGACAUCUACAGGAACCCAGCGGGAGACGCCAGGUGUGCCUUUCGGGAA